rnacentral:rRNA from 1 species
UGGGGAAUCUUGCGCAAUGGGCGAAAGCCUGACGCAGCGACGCCGCGUGGGUGAUGAAGGCCUUCGGGUUGUAAAGCCCUGUGGAGAGGGACGAAUAAGUUCGACCUAAUACGUCGGGCGAUGACGGUACCUCUUUAGCAAGCACCGGCUAACUCUGUGCCAGCAGCCGCGGUAAGACAGAGGGUGCAAACGUUGUUCGGAAUUACUGGGCGUAAAGCGCGUGUAGGCGGUCGUGCAAGUCGGGUGUGAAAGCCCAGGGCUCAACCCUGGAAGGGCAUUCGAUACUGCAUGGCUAGAGUCCCGGAGAGGAUGGUGGAACUCUCGGUGUAGAGGUGAAAUUCGUAGAUAUCGAGAAGAACACCGGUGGCGAAGGCGGCCAUCUGGACGGUGACUGACGCUGAGACGCGAAAGCGUGGGGAGCAAACA